GACGAACGCUGGCGGCAUGCCUAAUACAUGCAAGUCGAGCGAACAGAUGAGGUGCUUGCACUUCUGACGUUAGCGGCGAACGGGUGAGUAACACGUAAGGAAUCUACCUAUAAGCGGGGGAUAACAUUCGGAAACGGGUGCUAAUACCGCAUAAUAUCUUCUUCCGCAUGGAAGAAGAUUGAAAGACGGCUCUGCUGUCACUUAUAGAUGACCUUGCGGUGCAUUAGUUAGUUGGUGGGGUAACGGCCUACCAAGACGAUGAUGCAUAGCCGACCUGAGAGGGUGAUCGGCCACAUUGGGACUGAGACACGGCCCAAACUCCUACGGGAGGCAGCAGUAGGGAAUCUUCCGCAAUGGGCGAAAGCCUGACGGAGCAAUGCCGCGUGAGUGAAGAAGGCCUUCGGGUCGUAAAACUCUGUUAUAAGAGAAGAACAAAUUGUAGAGUAACUGCUACAGUCUUGACGGUAUCUUAUCAGAAAGCCACGGCUAACUACGUG
rnacentral:rRNA from 1 species